CGUCCUCACCACCCGUGGGUCUCAGGGAGGCCGGAUGCGACCUCAUCUUUCUCAUGGUGCUGUCCCUGGUGCUACUGGGGUGUGGGGGUCCCUCCCCUCCCCCACACCAGAACGGGGUAUGUUGGGGGAUUGAAAGCACUUGAACUUUUUAUUUUAUUAAAACCUUGUUAUAAGCAGUGCCCUUUGUAGCUUUUCAUUUUGAUUUAUGUGUCGAGGGGAUGUUUGUGGAGCUUUGGAGGGCCAAGGGUCAGUAGGACGGCGCUGAGGGCGGUGGAGGACAGAGCCGAGCAUCACACCCCCGGCCAGUGGUGCUGGUGAAGAGUGCGCGGACUCCCCCGCUCUUUCAGAUGAGGCCUGGAUCCGUGGGCCCAGGGCCAUGAUGCUCCGGAUCCGGGGGCAUAGGGACACCACCAUCAUCUCCUCGCGGUCACCUCCCCCCCCCACUGUGCCUGAGAGAGAUGGGGACAGCUACCCACCUCAUCUGUCUGACCUGCGACUCCUACUGAGCCUGUUUGAAAGGAGGGAGAGGUGGGUGCAGAGGGAGGGAUGCAGCCGUGGCCUCUACACGGACUGGAGUGCAGGUGUCUAGUGGCUUCUAGACCAACAGCGCAACAGAGCCGGAACCUUCUCCAGGAUGGCUGGACGGAGGGA